AUACUUACCUGGCAGGGGAGAGACCAUGAUCAUGAAGGUGGUUUUCUUAGGGUGAGGUUCAUCUAUUGCACUGUGGGUGUGCUGACCCCUGCAAUUUCCCCGAAUGCGGGAGACUUGACUGCAUAAUUUGUGGUAGUGGGGGAUUGUGUUUGUGCUCUUCCCUG